rnacentral:rRNA from 1 species
UACGAAGGGGGCUAGCGUUGCUCGGAAUCACUGGGCGUAAAGCGCACGUAGGCGGAUCUUUAAGUCAGGGGUGAAAUCCUGGAGCUCAACUCCAGAACUGCCUUUGAUACUGGGGAUCUCGAGUCCGGAAGAGGUGAGUGGAACUCCGAGUGUAGAGGUGAAAUUCGUAGAUAUUCGGAAGAACACCAGUGGCGAAGGCGGCUCACUGGUCCGGUACUGACGCUGAGGUGCGAAAGCGUGGGGAGCGAACGGG